UACGGAGGGUGCAAGCGUUAUCCGGAUUCACUGGGUUUAAAGGGUGCGUAGGUGGGCAGGUAAGUCAGUGGUGAAAUCUCCGGGCUUAACUCGGAAACUGCCAUUGAUACUAUCUUUCUUGAAUACCGUGGAGGUCAGCGGAAUAUGUCGUGUAGCGGUGAAAUGCUUAGAUAUGACAUAGAACACCAAUUGCGAAGGCAGCUGGCUACACGAAUAUUGACACUGAUGCACGAAAGCGUGGGGAUCAAACAGG
rnacentral:rRNA from 1 species